rnacentral:misc_RNA from 1 species
GUUAGGUCCGUGAAGUACACUCUCCCUAUUUAUCAUCGUAAGGUUUCGCUAAGAUUUUUAAGAAAUGCAAUGACCUCUCUCUAACCCUUUUUAUUUAUUUUCUAAAUCAUCCUGAUGCUCCUUGAUUUGAUGAUCUGGAAUGAUAUUUAUUUUAGUAUACAUGUAUGUGUUCGACAUUAUGUAAGUUGAUUAUUCUUUGAUAUGUAAUAUCAGAAAUGAUGAAGUUGGUUUUCAUUUUGGAAGUAUAAUUGAAUCAAUGAAUAAGAUUCUUUUUUUUUUCUGAAAGAAAUUGUCCAUUAAAGAAAACUGUAUUUUAUUUUAUGUUCUGAAAAAUCCACAAAUGUAAACACUUUAUAAACCUAUAUCAAUGCAAUGGCAUAUAUUUAUGUUGAAAUUUUUACUGAUUUCUCUCCCUUUGUAAAUAUGGUAUAGGAUGUGAUUAGAUGUAUACUUUGUAUGAACCACACAUCCAGCCGAUGGCUGUAGCAUGUUACUGUUACCAAAUACAAGCUAAUCAACAG